rnacentral:rRNA from 1 species
CUACGGGAGGCUCCAGUGGGGAAUAUUGCACAAUGGGCGCAAGCCUGAUGCAGCCAUGCCGCGUGUAUGAAGAAGGCCUUCGGGUUGUAAAGUACUUUCAGCGGGGAGGAAGGGAGUAAAGUUAAUACCUUUGCUCAUUGACGUUACCCGCAGAAGAAGCACCGGCUAACUCCGUGCCAGCAGCCGCGGUAAUACGGAGGGUGCAAGCGUUAAUCGGAAUUACUGGGCGUAAAGCGCACGCAGGCAGUUUGUUAAGUCAGAUGUGAAAUCCCCGGGCUCAACCUGGGAACUGCAUCGGAUACUGGCAAGCGUGAGUCUCGUAGAGGGGGGUAGAAUUCCAGGUGUAGCGGUGAAAUGCGUAGAGAUCUGGAGGAAUACCGGUGGCGAAGGCGGCCCCCUGGACGAAGACUGACGCUCAGGUGCGAAAGCGUGGGGAGCAAACAGGAUUAGAUACCCCCGUAGUC